rnacentral:lncRNA from 1 species
GCUAGCACCACGGUGCAUUAUGGGGGCCGCAGUCCCCUCCGUGCAGGGUGGGGGGUCAAGCUCGCCGACUGUCCCCCGCGAGCCCGUGGACUACAACUCCCAGCAGGCCAAGCGGAGGGACGAACGGCUCUUUUCCUUCCCCGCCUGCCCUGGCCAUCCUGCCGCUUGGCCCCAUGGGAGCUGUGUUUCGGGGCGCCCGCUGCUUCCCGCGCCUUGCUAGAGCUUCUGCGGGCGGAGUGGACUCGCUGUCCCAGCCUGCCCUGCGCGGACGGUGGCUGCCAAGGGCGCUGGAGGCUCAGGGGCCGCCCCGGAAGGAACGCGGCCGCGGCGCGGAGCGGUUGGGCUCGCGCUCUGCGGAGGUCGCAAGUGAUCCAGCAGAACCCGGGUUGGCUGAGACCAGGAUGGAAGAGUCUGAUGGGGACCUAUCCAUUCAGAGAGGUGCCGUCCUAGCUGAGUGGUACCAUAUUCGGAUCACCACAACGAAUCUGGUUCAGGAGCUGAGAUCCUUGGUGGCUUUAAAUGAUCCCCAGGAAGGAAAACUGAUUCAGUCUCAAGAGACAGCUUUAAACUCAUUGGACAUUUGGAAGGCCUUAUUUGCUGCUGCUGAACCUAAUCCAGAGACUGC